GCAGUUGGCAAGCUGGACAAGGCUUGUAAAAGUGAGAGUGGGAAGAUAUUCUGGCAGCAUACAGGUGAAGGGAGGCACAGAAUGCUGAUAAAGUCUUUAUCUAGAUCAGAAACAUUUCUGCAUUAGCAAAAUUUUGUUCUCUUGAGGAAAGAAGUGUAUUAUGUUCUCAUGUUAAUUAAAAAUUAAGUUACUUUUAUGAGGCAAGCCCUUAAACUGGACAGUAAUGCAGUUACUGAAAGAUUUCCCUGUGGAAGGAAGAACAGUCUUGCAGUGAAUAUAGUACAACAGGGAUGACGACUGCUGAGCAUUGUAUAAUGUGAUGCUGGGGUGGCCCCAGCCAGCUCCAAUGGCCCCACUCCAAGGCAUGGCCGGGCCCUGCAGCCAAGAUGGUGGCACGUGGGGGGGCAGCCUGGGGAAGAGAGGACACUGCACAGCAGAGAGCAGUGAGGGGUUGGGGAUAAUCCAUCAUCAUCCUGAACUUCAAAAUGACGACAUCUGGACUACAUCCUCACAAUGGUGUAGUACUGACACUUCAAACAAACUCAGAAAAUGGUUAAAAAAAGAAGCACUACUUACAACCAUCUCACAAGGAUAAUCAUCUGUGGGCAAACAAAAGACUAAAAGACUCAUUCUUGCUGGAAACAUUUGAAGUUCCUUUUUUUUUUUUUUUUUUUUUCUUUUUCUUUCUUCCCUUUUCCUGGCUUUAACUUAUUGAACUUUUUAGUUAAGGCAGCCUGAAGGCACUAAAUUACAGAUGGUGCUCACUCAUUCUAAAAUUGAAACCUUCCUCUUUCAAAAGGUAAUUGUUUCCAGUUGAUACAUGCAACAUGAAUUGGAUAAGUCAAUCAUUUCUUGAAUGAAAAUAGCUCUUAUAUUCUUGCAAAGUCAAACUCUGUCUAAGGAUCUCUUUGUCCUAAGAAAAGAAAUUGCAUGCUAUUUCCUUCCCUUAUGAUCUAACUUUGUGUCAACUCCCUCUAUAGUACCUUUGGCAGAAAAAGUAAAAGUAACAAAUGUUCCUUAUUAUUUAUAGUCCUUGAAUGUAAAAAUAAAAAUUUGAAAAAGGUAGAUUAUAUAUUUGAA
rnacentral:lncRNA from 1 species